UCUCCCCUCCUCCUCUCCCAUCCUCUGUGUGGAAAAAACCAUGUUUCAGAACUGUCGGAUGUUUAUGGACGGGGAAUCCAAAGAGUUGCCUUGCUAUCCCUCCUAGGUCAACAAAGGCACCCAUCUUCCACCAUGAGCAACAGGAAGGCCUAACCCAGAAGAAGCCUAACAUGAAAAAACAACAUGAUCUGUUACCUUGUACAGACUGGUGGAGAUCGGAGAUUUUAACGAGGAGUGGCCAGAGACAAACGUUUUCUAGAGAGGCCCCUUUGAGAUGGCAGCAUCCUGGGAGAAACGGAACCUGGGCCGCCGUCUCCAGCCCAAGUCGUUGGACCAGAACCAGGCGGUGGUUAUAGCCGAGCUAGCAGACUGGAAUCCAGCUACCACACCAGCAGUGACACACCCAGUAAACCAGAACAACAGCCACAGAACGACAGGUCUGCACUCCAACGAGAGACCCCAACACACAGAGGAAACUGCAGGACUGGAAUCUUCAUGUGAAGAAAAUAUCUGUGAUCAUCGGUGACUCCUAUGUGCACAGACUCCUCCGUCCUAUAAAGCAGAGGGGUACAGAUCGACAGAUUUCCAUGAGCGAAAUGUUGCCACCCGGUGAGGCCCAGUUGGAGAAAGCACCCUGUGGAAAAUCUGGUUUUAUAACUUUGGACUGAAUACCAGUGAUGGAGCUGAAAAUGGGACUAAAGGCAGAGCAGUCAGCAAUCUUUCUAAGGCCCUUAUCUGUAAAGAACAAGCCACAAUGUUGGAUCUUAACAACUUUAUUACAGGUUUAGAUGAACAGAUUCCUGCACUUCCUACUGUGAUAUUCGGCACAGAAGGACAACAUUCACUCGACUAGUAGAGCAGCAAUGUGUAUGUUAGAACAGUGGAACCAGUGUGUAAAUGAGCCAUCCCCAUAAGCCUUGAAAAGUGGGAGGAGUGAUUCACCUUUCUUAAGUUCCAAUGCUCAGUAGGUCCUUUGGACAGAAAUAAGUUCUUCUUCUUUCAAUAAUUGUUUAUUCUGUUCAUUAUAGAAUCAGCUAGGCUCCAGUG